GACGUUGAAACACUGGUUCACAUAUGAUCACCAUCGAAGUUAAGCAAAGUUGAGCUUGGUCAAUACCUAGAUGGGUGACUGUUUGGGAAUACCUGGUGCUAUA